UACGGGGGGAGCAAGCGUUGUUCGGAUUUACUGGGCGUAAAGGGCGCGUAGGCGGCCACCGCAAGUCGACUGUGAAAUCUCCGGGCUUAACCUGGAACGGUCAGCCGAUACUGCGGGGCUAGAGUGCAGAAGGGGCAACUGGAAUUCUCGGUGUAGCGGUGAAAUGCGUAGAUAUCGAGAGGAACACCUGCGGCGAAGGCGGGUUGCUGGGCUGACACUGACGCUGAUGCGCGAAAGCCAGGGGAGCGAACGGG
rnacentral:rRNA from 1 species